CUUGGGAACACAACUCUGUUGGCCUAGGAACCAUACUCCCAUCUGUCAUGGCAGCUGCAGCAAGCCUCACCCAAGGAGAGUCUGGCUGGAGGCCAAACAACACAAAACCAGCACACUUAACAAAAAUAUAACCAAUGACCCUUGCAGAGUCCACUUAACUCCCCUCCACCAGAGCAGGUGCUGGUAUCCACAGCUGAGAGACCUGAAGAUGGAUCACAUCACAGGACUCCUUGCAGACAUUCUCCAGUACCAGCCCAGAGCCUGACCUGUCCACGCUGAGUUUAUAGCAACUGUCAAUUACGGUUCAGAUUUUCCUACCCCAGCGUGACUUUCCAAAGAGGCUUCUGCUCAUGGAUUUCUGCUCCAGGAAGAUGCAACAGGAAGGUCCUCACAAGAUGGCUGAACAGAUGCAGGUGCUGUGCCUCUGGACUGCCUAGCCUCCAGAACUGAUACAUAUGCAGGAUGUGCAGCUUUGUUACACAGGAGGUGUUGGAAGCUGUGAAUGUGGAUGAAAGUACCAAUAUAGAGAGAACAGAGUGAGAAUAGAAGACAGCCCAAGAAUCUAAAGUCAUGCACUUGCAAGGGAGUCAGAGGAAGAGAGAUACUUUUGGCUCGGUGAAUGGUGCUUAUCAGUUAACAGCAGAAACCCUCCUGAAAUGGAAAAUGGUUCAUUGUUUCCAUCAUGUACUCUAUGGAAUACAAAGCUCUGAAACCUGUUGGCUACUGGAAGUGUACAAGAAAAAGACUCUCAAGCUAGAGGUGGGGUAGAGCUGGAGCCAGCCAUGUCAAGAUCUUUCGAGGACAUGAACAUUUUUUAUGCUUAUUAAAAGAUGAUGUGGUUUUAAAAUAAAUCUAAGGCUGGGCGCAGUGGCUCAUGCCUGGAAUCCCAGCAGUUUGGGAGGCUGAGGCGGGUGGAUUGCUUGAGCUCAGUAAUUCAAGACCAGCCUGGGCAACAUGGCAAGAAACUCUCUCUACUAAAAACAGAA
rnacentral:lncRNA from 1 species